rnacentral:rRNA from 1 species
GGGGAAUAUUGGACAAUGGGGGAAACCCUGAUCCAGCCAUGCCGCGUGGGUGAUGAAGGCCUUCGGGUUGUAAAGCCCUGUCGGGAGGGACGAAGAAAUGACGGUACCUCCCAAGAAAGCACCGGCUAACUCCGUGCCAGCAGCCGCGGUAAUACGGAGGGUGCAAGCGUUGCUCGGAAUUACUGGGCGUAAAGCGUACGCAGGCGGCCUGAUAAGUCGGAUGUGAAAUCCCCAAGCUCAACUUGGGAACUGCAUCCGAAACUGUCUGGCUUGAGUUCGGGAGAGGGAAGUGGAAUUCCUGGUGUAGAGGUGAAAUUCGUUGAUAUCAGGAGGAACACCGGCGGCGAAAGCGGCUUCCUGGCCCGAUACUGACGCUCAUGUACGAAAGCGUGGGGAGCAAAC